GGCUAUGACCAUGCCAUCCUGAAUCUGCUGAUCUUGUCUGAUCUCGGAAGCUAAGCAGGGUCAGGCCUGGUUAGUACUUGGAUGGGAGACCACCUAGAAAUACCAGGUGCUGUAGACG
rnacentral:rRNA from 1 species